rnacentral:rRNA from 1 species
GACGAACGCUGGCGGCGUGCUUAACACUUGCAAGUCGAACGGUAAGGCCCUUCGGGGUACACGAGUGGCGAACGGGUGAGUAACACGUGGGUGAUCUGCCCUGCACUUCGGGAUAAGCUUGGGAAACUGGGUCUAAUACCGGAUAGGAUCAUGGCCUUCAUGGGUUGUGGUGGAAAGCUUUUGCGGUGUGGGAUGGGCCCGCGGCCUAUCAGCUUGUUGGUGGGGUAAUGGCCUACCAAGGCGACGACGGGUAGCCGGCCUGAGAGGGUGUCCGGCCACACUGGGACUGAGAUACGGCCCAGACUCCUACGGGAGGCAGCAGUGGGGAAUAUUGCACAAUGGGCGCAAGCCUGAUGCAGCGACGCCGCGUGGGGGAUGACGGCCUUCGGGUUGUAAACCUCUUUCAGCAUCGACGAAGCGCAAGUGACGGUAGGUGCAGAAGAAGCACCGGCCAACUACGUGCCAGCAGCCGCCGUAAAAC